rnacentral:pre_miRNA from 1 species
AUAUGCAUCCCCAGGAGAUCUUGUUAAAAUGCACAUUCUGAUUCAGUAGAUGGGGGCUGGGUCUGAGAUUCUGAGCUUCUGACAAGCUCCCAGGGGAUGCUGAU